rnacentral:other from 1 species
AGUUCGCGGGCACCAAUGAACAAGCGUACCCUACGCACGUUUUUUCUUGGUUGCGAUGUUGUGUUUGCAUUUUUUCGGCUUUACCGAGCCUCAGUAGCAUUAGCUACAUUUUUAUAUACGCUGCGUAUAUUUCAUACUAUCUACACAAAGAUUUAUCGUGCACUGAGCUGAUGGCUCGGUGCUUUUUUUU